rnacentral:rRNA from 1 species
AAGAAACCAACAGGGAUUGCCCCAGUAGCGGCGAGUGAAGCGGCAAGAGCUCAGAUUUGAAAUCGUGUUUCGGCACGAGUUGUAGAGUGUAGGCGGGAGUCUCUGUGGAGCGCGGUGUCCAAGUCCCUUGGAACAGGGUGCCUGAGAGGGUGAGAGCCCCGUAGGGUGCUGCGCGAAGCUUUUGAGGCCCUGCUGACGAGUCGAGUUGUUUGGGAAUGCAGCUCCAAGCGGGUGGUAAAUUCCAUCUAAGGCUAAAUAUUGGCGAGAGACCGAUAGCGAACAAGUACUGUGAAGGAAAGAUGAAAAGCACUUUGAAAAGAGAGUGAAACAGCACGUGAAAUUGUUGAAAGGGAAGGGUAUUGGGCUCGACAUGGGGGGUGCGCACCGCUGUCUCUUGUAGGCGGCGCUCUGGGCGCCCUCUGGGCCAGCAUCGGUUCCUGCUGCGGGAGAAGGGGCUCCGGAAAGUGGCUCUUCGGAGUGUUAUAGCCGGGGCCAGAUGCCGCGUGUGGGGACCGAGGACUGCGGCUUCUGUCUCGGAUGCUGGCAUAACGGCGCAAUACUGCCCGUCUUGAAACACGGACC